rnacentral:lncRNA from 12 species
CCCCCCCCCCCCCCCCCCCCCCCCCCCCCCCCCCCCCCCCCCCCCCCCCCCCCAAAAAAAAAAAAAAAAAAAAAAAAAUCAAUUUUAAGCUCACAUGCCCCAGUGGGUGCCAAAGCCACUUCAGAGAGGCUGAGAGAUGGCUGAGUCGACAGGAUUUGACUUCCCGAGGUAGAAAGGUGACAAACUCCAUCAUGAGAAAGGGGCAGCUCGGGGCCUCCAAGGCCGAACCUGCUCCCAGGAUCCGGGGCCCGGCGUCGUAUUGAACCUAUUUAUCUCUUUCAUGGGCCCAAGGUUUUUUGGAAGCUUCUUCUGGGUGUUCUGGAUAUUUAGGAAGCUGCUGCUCUUCUGGCCAGAGGUCUCCAUGGAAUUCCUCCAUCUGAGACACAGAGCUGGUGCCACGGGUCUCAAUUAUUUUAAGAUAUGUGCCAAUAAAUGA